GACGGAGGAUGCAAGCGUUAUCCGGAAUGAUUGGGCGUAAAGCGUCCGCAGGUGGCAGUUCAAGUCUGCUGUCAAAGACCGGGGCUUAACUUCGGAAAGGCAGUGGAAACUGAACAGCUAGAGUAUGGUAGGGGCAGAGGGAAUUCCUGGUGUAGCGGUGAAAUGCGCAGAUAUCAGGAGGAACACCAAUGGCGAAGGCAGCUCGCUGGGACGGUACUGACGCUGAGGCGCGAAAGCGUGGGGAGCGAACAGG
rnacentral:rRNA from 1 species